GCUUGGGAGGGGAGGGGUGGGACUAUGCUGGUGCAGGGCAGUGCAGCAGAGUAUUAAAGCAGUAGCACAGCUCAUAUGUAGAACACUGUCCAUCUUGCUUGAAUGGGCACUAAUAUUUAAUGAAAGGAGAAAGAACCUUUGCCCACCCUCUUUCAUAUAAGGAAAAAAUCCUACUGUGCAUUGAAAAUGCUGGAAAUGGAAAAAGGUGCAAAGAUGGAGGACUUGGAAGAGGGAGACAGGAGUGGUGCAGCAUUGGCACAAAAUAAAUGAGAAUGCACAAUCUUGUAGUGGUAUUGUUGAAGUACAAACUGUAGGCAUGAAGAAGUAAGACUGGAGUCUACUGAGGAGGGGGAGGAUGGAAGUAUGGACAGGAUGGUAGUGAAGGCCUCUUGGUGGUGCUGAAGCUGUUUGAGGCUUGGAUUGAUGCAGUGGGCUCGGGAUGGGAAACCCUGGGAACACCCAGCCGUGUGUGCAGGCACAAGGCCUUAUCUCCUGCCUUUAAGAGGUCUCUUGGUGCCACAGUGUGGUUCCUGUGGCUGGCUGAGAGGAGUGGUGCAGCUCACUGCUUGUGCAGACCAUUUUCUAACAAGCCCCAAGCCAGGGGCUGCUUUAGGGGACAGGGAAAGUAGCUUUCAGUACAGACAAACGUUGUGUGGCACAGUUUGGUUCUGCCCCCUUCCUCAAAGGAAGUGUGUGAGGGCUGAAUGUCCUGGAAGGGCUCUGGAGCAGUGCAGUGCCGGGGACAUGUGUGCUGCAGCAGCACAGGCAGACGAGCUCUUUUGCUGGGGAAGGCUCAGGGGUGUGUCUGUGCUGCUCUGUCCGCGCCAGCCCCACCCCGACACAGCCACCCUGGCAAGGGAGGGCUGUCCCUGAAUAUUGAUGGUGUUUGAACUAAUUAAGCAGCGGAAGCAAAGCUGAACGAGUCUCAGAGGUGCUGCGCUCCUUCCGCAAACUCUGUUCUCGCCUGUAAGACCAGGUGUUUACAUGUGUGAUGAUUCUGCCUCCCCACACAUCCCCCUGGGAGACCUCUUUAUUUGAAGAACAGAUGCUUGGCUUCCUGCUAAAAUUUCAAUACUGUAAACAUCCUGAGGGCAAGGAGAAAGUGUCCCUGCAGACCCCUCUGCACUCCUCUGGUGCUCUGCCCAGCAAACAAGGUGCUCCUCUUUCCCCAGGGAUGAAGCUUUUUUUCACGUUUCUUCCUUGUGCCUUGACUCUGCAAAGCUGCCAGCAAGGGCUGCCUGGGAGGCCUGAGGCUGUGCCUCUCAGGAGCACGGAGCUCAACUCUGUUCUUCCUCACGUGCGUGUUUCUUACAGAAGCCUCUACUACAAAUCCUGCUCUGAAUGGUGGGGUUGCAAAGUGUGGGAGGGAAUUAGUCUUUGUAGAUGGUGGCAUUCCCCCAGCCCCAUGCAGCAGCAAUCCUGGGGGCUUUCCCAUUCCCUGCCCUCAGCUACACAUCUCUCUUUGGUUUCCACUGCAUCAGCACUCCCCUCUGUGCUGGGCCCUGCCCCCUCCUGCUGCCAUUCAUCAUUUCUGAUCCAAUAAAUUACAGCGCCAUAAAAAUG